rfam:Danio rerio chromosome 3, GRCz11 reference primary assembly.
CCAACGGUACUUUUAAGUGCCACCAAAGUUUCGAUCAAAGAGCAUU